UUUUAUGGAGAGUUUGAUCCUGGCUCAGGAUGAACGCUGGCGGCGUGCCUAAUACAUGCAAGUCGAGCGAACGGACGAGAAGCUUGCUUCUCUGAUGUUAGCGGCGGACGGGUGAGUAACACGUGGAUAACCUACCUAUAAGACUGGGAUAACUUCGGGAAACCGGAGCUAAUACCGGAUGAUAUUUUGAACCGCAUGGUUCAAAAGUGAAAGACGGUCUUGCUGUCACUUAUAGAUGGAUCCGCGCUGCAUUAGCUAGUUGGUAAGGUAACGGCUUACCAAGGCAACGAUGCAUAGCCGACCUGAGAGGGUGAUCGGCCACACUGGAACUGAGACACGGUCCAGACUCCUACGGGAGGCAGCAGUAGGGAAUCUUCCGCAAUGGGCGAAAGCCUGACGGAGCAACGCCGCGUGAGUGAUGAAGGUCUUCGGAUCGUAAAACUCUGUUAUUAGGGAAGAACAUAUGUGUAAGUAACUGUGCACAUCUUGACGGUACCUAAUCAGAAAGCCACGGCUAACUACGUGCCAGCAGCCGCGGUAAUACGUAGGUGGCAAGCGUUAUCCGGAAUUAUUGGGCGUAAAGCGCGCGUAGGCGGUUUUUUAAGUCUGAUGUGAAAGCCCACGGCUCAACCGUGGAGGGUCAUUGGAAACUGGAAAACUUGAGUGCAGAAGAGGAAAGUGGAAUUCCAUGUGUAGCGGUGAAAUGCGCAGAGAUAUGGAGGAACACCAGUGGCGAAGGCGACUUUCUGGUCUGUAACUGACGCUGAUGUGCGAAAGCGUGGGGAUCAAACAGGAUUAGAUACCCUGGUAGUCCACGCCGUAAACGAUGAGUGCUAAGUGUUAGGGGGUUUCCGCCCCUUAGUGCUGCAGCUAACGCAUUAAGCACUCCGCCUGGGGAGUACGACCGCAAGGUUGAAACUCAAAGGAAUUGACGGGGACCCGCACAAGCGGUGGAGCAUGUGGUUUAAUUCGAAGCAACGCGAAGAACCUUACCAAAUCUUGACAUCCUUUGACAACUCUAGAGAUAGAGC
rnacentral:rRNA from 3 species